CCUACGGGAGACAGCAGUGAGGAAUAUUGGUCAAUGGACGAGAGUCUGAACCAGCCAAGUAGCGUGAAGGAUGACUGCCCUAUGGGUUGUAAACUUCUUUUAUAAAGGAAUAAAACGAGGCACGUGUGCCGUUUUGCAUGUACUUUAUGAAUAAGGAUCGGCUAACUCCGUGCCAGCAGCCGCGGUAAUACGGAGGAUGCGAGCGUUAUCCGGAUUUAUUGGGUUUAAAGGGAGCGUAGAUGGGUUGUUAAGUCAGUUGUGAAAGUUUGCGGCUCAACCGUAAAAUUGCAAUUGAUACUGGCAGUCUUGAGUACAGUUGAGGUAGGCGGAAUUCGUGGUGUAGCGGUGAAAUGCUUAGAUAUCACGAAGAACCCCGAUUGCGAAGGCAGCUUACUAAACUGUGACUGACGUUGAGGCUCGAAAGUGUGGGUAUCAAACAGGAUUAGAUACCCGAGUAGUC
rnacentral:rRNA from 1 species